AGAGCCGGUGUCCCCUUCGGCCCCCAUAUCCCCACCUUAUAAGGGUAGAAUGCCUCAGGUUACAGAGAUUGCCCCCUCGGUGGGACUCUAUCCUUUGAUUACUGAGACUGUUGUGGCUCGCCCAGGGGCAGACGGACGUCAGGCUACCACUAUGCAAGUUUACACCCAUGUGCCAUUCAUAGAAUCAUAGAAUAUCAGGGUUGGAAGGGACCUCAGGAG